rnacentral:snoRNA from 1 species
UGCGCGUACAUGAUGAGUAUAUACGUACUAUGUUUAUUUUCUGGCAUCUCUAAUGUUAGGGCGGAGUUUAAGUACUACCGUUCGAUGAAUAGAACUCAUGACGACAAAUCUGAUACUAUGCGCA